UUGCACGCUGGCGGCAGGCCUAACACAUGCAAGUCGCGCGGAUGAAGGGAGCUUGCUCCUGGAUUCAGCGGCGGACGGGUGAGUAAUGCCUAGGAAUCUGCCUGGUAGUGGGGGAUAACGUCCGGAAACGGGCGCUAAUACCGCAUACGUCCUGAGGGAGAAAGUGGGGGAUCUUCGGACCUCACGCUAUCAGAUGAGCCUAGGUCGGAUUAGCUAGUUGGUGGGGUAAAGGCCUACCAAGGCGACGAUCCGUAACUGGUCUGAGAGGAUGAUCAGUCACACUGGAACUGAGACACGGCCCAGACUCCUACGGGAGGCAGCAGUGGGGAAUAUUGGACAAUGGGCGAAAGCCUGAUCCAGCCAUGCCGCGUGUGUGAAGAAGGUCUUCGGAUUGUAAAGCACUUUAAGUUGGGAGGAAGGGCAGUAAGUUAAUACCUUGCUGUUUUGACGUUACCAACAGAAUAAGCACCGGCUAACUUCGU
rnacentral:rRNA from 1 species